CAGCAGUCAAGAAUAUUAGUCAAUGCUCGCAAGAGUGAACUAGCUAACUGAAAUCUUAAUUUUUUUUUUAAUAUUAAGAUAAGGUAAGAGAAAAUAAUGAUAUUAUCUUACUAUUAGUGUCGUCUAAAUUUGGUGCCAGAAGACUCGGUAAGACCUUAGACACAAACGUUAAUCGUCAUAAUCAGGCGUAAAGGGUGUGUAGGCGGCUUUAAAAUAUUUAUUUUUUUUUUAAUAAAUAUUUAAAUUAAAGCUAGAAUCUAAAAGAGGGUAAGCUAAACAACAUAAUUAAUUAGGACUGACAACUUAUAAUAAUGUGGAGUACUAAAGGUUAAAGCUAUUUAUCUACUUAAGAUUGACGCUCAGAAACGAAGGGGAGAAUAAGAAACUUAGAUUAGAGACCUAAUUAUCUCUCUCAGUCAACGAUGAAUGGUAGUUAUUAAAAAUACAAAUAUAAUUAUAAUUAUAUAGAUAUUAGUAACGAGGUUAACACGAUGACCAUUCCGCCUUGUUAGUAAGACUGCAAAGUUGAAAACAAAAAAAUUAGUCGGUCUUGAAGCAAACGAAGUGAAGCAUGUUAUUUAAUUCGAUAAUCCGCA
rnacentral:rRNA from 1 species